GUGAAGAGCCGUAAUAGGGCAUUGUCUAUGCCAAACUCUCAUUCAAGUGGACCCAAAAACUGGUGGUGACAUGCGAAACAAAAUCAACUCCACAGUUUCCUGCUAUUGAUUUUUUGUAGAACAAGAAAAGCAAUGUUGGUCAGAUAAGGUAUAUACACCCUGAAAUAGUACUCUGAAGGAGAAGAGGAAAGAAAUGUAACAUAAAUUCAAAAUAUACCAUAUGACAAAUGUUU